rnacentral:rRNA from 1 species
AUUGAACGCUGGCGGCAUGCCUUACACAUGCAAGUCGAACGGCAGCACGGGAGCAAUCCUGGUGGCGAGUGGCGAACGGGUGAGUAAUAUAUCGGAACGUGCCCAGUCGUGGGGGAUAACGUAGCGAAAGCUACGCUAAUACCGCAUACGAUCUAUGGAUGAAAGCGGGGGAUCGCAAGACCUCGCGCGAUUGGAGCGGCCGAUAUCAGAUUAGGUAGUUGGUGAGGUAAAGGCUCACCAAGCCGACGAUCUGUAGCUGGUCUGAGAGGACGACCAGCCACACUGGGACUGAGACACGGCCCAGACUCCUACGGGAGGCAGCAGUGGGGAAUAUUGGACAAUGGGCGGAAAGCCUGAUCCAGCAAUGCCGCGUGAGUGAUGAAGGCCUUAGGGUUGUAAGCUCUUUUUACCCGAGAUGAUAAUGACAGUAUCGGGAGAA